GAUGAACGCUGGCGGCGUGCCUAAUACAUGCAAGUCGAGCGAACAGACGAGGAGCUUGCUCCUUUGACGUUAGCGGCGGACGGGUGAGUAACACGUAGGUCACCUACCUAUAAGACUGGGAUAACUUCGGGAAACCGGAGCUAAUACCGGAUAAUAUUUCGAACCGCAUGGUUCGAUAGUGAAAGAUGGCUUUGCUAUCACUUAUAGAUGGACCUGCGCCGUAUUAGCUAGUUGGUAAGGUAACGGCUUACCAAGGCAACGAUACGUAGCCGACCUGAGAGGGUGAUCGCCCACACUGGAACUGAGACACGGUCCAGACUCCUACGAGAGGCAGCAGUAGGGAAUCUUCCGCAAUGGGCGAAAGCCUGACGGAGCAACGCCGCGUGAGUGAUGAAGGUCUUCGGAUCGUAAAACUCUGUUAUUAGGGAAGAACAAACGUGUAAGUAACUGUGCACGUCUUGACGGUACCUAAUCAGAAAGCCACGGCUAACUACGUG
rnacentral:rRNA from 1 species